UACGUAUGGAGCAAGCGUUAUCCGGAUUUACUGGGCGUAAAGGGAGCGUAGGCGGCCUGCCAAGUCAGGAGUGAAAACCCAGGGCCCAACUCUGGCACUGCUCUUGAAACUGGCAGGCUUGAGUGCUGGAGAGGUAAGCGGAAUUCCUAGUGUAGCGGUGAAAUGCGUAGAUAUUAGGAGGAACACCAGUGGCGAAGGCGGCCUGCUGGACGGUGACUGACGCUGAGGCUCGAAAGCGUGGGGAGCAAACAGG
rnacentral:rRNA from 1 species